AGAGCGAACGCUGGCGGCAGGCCUAACACAUGCAAGUCGAGCGCCCGUAGCAAUACGGGAGCGGCAGACGGGAUAGUAACACGUGGGAACGCGCCCUUCGGUUCGGAAUAACUCAGGGAAACUUGAGCUAAUACCGGAUACGCCCUUACGGGGAAAGAUUUAUUGCCGAAGGAACGGCCCGCGUCCGAUUAGCUAGUUGGUGAGGUAAUGGCUCACCAAGGCUCCGAUCAGUAUCC
rnacentral:rRNA from 1 species